rnacentral:rRNA from 1 species
GACAGAGGGUGCAAACGUUGUUCGGAAUUACUGGGCGUAAAGCGUGUGUAGGCGGUCAUGCAAGUCGGAUGUGAAAGCCCCGGGCUCAACCCGGGAAGUGCACUCGAUACUGCGUGACUUGAGUAUCGGAGAGGUUGGUGGAAUUCUCCGGUGUAGAGGUGAAAUUCGUAGAUAUUCGGAGGAACACCAGUGGCGAAGGCGGCUCACUGGUCCGGUACUGACGCUGAGGUGCGAAAGCGUGGGGAGCAAACAGG